rnacentral:lncRNA from 1 species
CGGGUACCCUAAAUUACCCGGUCAAAAUUACAGUUUUCAGGUCAAAUUGUGAAAUCGGGUAUUUUCGGGUAUUAGGGUACCCGAAUACCCGAAAAUACCCGAUUUUAUUAAAAAAAAAAUGAAAAUGUAACUGCGUACGAAAGUGUAACUGAGCACAAAAAAAACAAAGAAGAAGAAGAAGAAGCGGCGUCUGCUGGGAGCUCGGAGGCGGCGCGGCUGCUGGGACGAUGGAGGCAACUACGUGGCUAUCUGGGUCGACGACUCGCGACGCGACGGCGGCAGGCUGCAGCUGCGUGGCUGGGAAGCGGGCGGGACUCGGACCUGGCUGGGGACGACUCGCGAGAGGCCGCCGCUGGGUCGUGGCAGCCGACAGGUGGCGGGUGGGACGACGGAGGCCGGCACCGGCGCACCGCGCGAGGAGGCUGGGGGAUUAGGGCGGCCGGGAGUUCAGCAGCUGC